UACGUAGGGUGCGAGCGUUAAUCGGAAUUACUGGGCGUAAAGCGUGCGCAGGCGGUUUUGUAAGCCAGGUGUGAAAUCCCCGGGCUCAACCUGGGAAUGGCAUUUGGGACUGCAAGGCUGGAGUGCGGCAGAGGAGACUGGAAUUCCUGGUAUAGCAGUGAAAUGCGUAGAUAUCAGGAGGAACACCGAUGGCGAAGGCAGGUCUCUGGGCUGACACUGACGCUCAUGCACGAAAGCGUGGGGAGCAAACAGG
rnacentral:rRNA from 1 species